UACGUAGGGUGCAAGCGUUGUCCGGAUUUAUUGGGCGUAAAGAGCUCGUAGGCGGUCUGUCGCGUCGGAUGUGAAAACCCAGGGCUCAACCCUGGGCCUGCAUUCGAUACGGGCAGACUAGAGUGUGGCAGGGGAGACCGGAAUUCCUGGUGUAGCGGUGAAAUGCGCAGAUAUCAGGAGGAACACCGGUGGCGAAGGCGGGUCUCUGGGCCAAUACUGACGCUGAGGAGCGAAAGCGUGGGGAGCGAACAGG
rnacentral:rRNA from 1 species